GCUGCCUGGGUCGGGUGGGCCUGUGGGCCUGCGUCCGGCAGCGCGCGGCCGUGCUUUCUAAGCGGGCUCGGCAGCACCAGACUUCACCGGCCCGGCGCGGGGCUCACAAGUGCUCGCACUCUCUGCGACCGGCGCGCUGACCGGAGCCUCUGGGUCUCGCACGCAGCAGCUGCAGACAUUGCCCGGCGCGGUGGGGCUGUAAGCAAAACGGCCCGCCGGUGUGGUUGCCCAGACUGUGCUGGGCCCUCCUAGGUGGAUGGCCCUGCCCCAGCCUAACUUCUGUACCCCAGCAUAAUCUCCAAAGUAACAGCCGUGCCCUGGGAGCCUGUUCAACACUGAACAUAUCCCACAAUAACACUGUUCCAGCGUCGCUGGUAAAAAGCAGAAAUGGCUUCGCCGGAGGCAUCGACAAAUCUAAUGCAGUAACCUCAUUUUACAGAAGAGAACUCUAAGAGGAUAACUAACUUGGCCAAGAUCACAUGAUGUUUCUGGAUGAGAUUAGCAUUCAAAUUCGUGGACUCAUUAAAGUAGAUGGCCCUCUCCAAUAUGGGUGGGCAUCAUCCAAUCUGUUGAAGGCGUGAAGAGAACAAAAGAAGGAGGAAGGAAGAAUUCACCUUUUUUCUUGCUGCCCACCUGCUUGGGCUGGGACAUUGCAUCUCACCUUCUCCAGCCUUUGGAUGAGGAUUUACACCCUGGUUCUCAGGCCUUCAGGCUCUAACUGGAGCUACACUAUCAGCUUUCCUGGGCCUCCAGAUUGCAGAUGGUGGAUCACGGUACUUUUUAGCCUCCAUCAUAAAAUGAGAAAAAAGAGGCACAGUGAAGCUAAAUAUAUUGGCUAAAGAUCACAAAGCUAUUACUAUUGGUGAGGAAUUUUGGAGUAAUUUGAUUGGGUGUUCUGGCUCAAGGGUCUCUUAGGAGUUUGCAGUCAGAUGUCAGCUGUGGCUACAUCAUCUGGACACAUGACUGAGGGUGGAACAUUCAAUUUCAAGGUAUCUCACUCAUAUGGCUGCAUCGUUUCAAGGUUGGGAACCAUGGCAGGAAGAUCAUGCAGGUCUGGACUUCCUUUCCCCUCAAGGCAAAUAGAAUUCUGUGAUAAGGAUAUAGAGCGGCUUGAAGCUAGAUGAACUGGACCAUUGGUGUCCUACACAGAAGCUAUUUAAGAAGGAACAGCUCUGAUUUGGAAAAAUGUUUAAAGACUCACUCUAGUGAUUGUCCCGGGUGUGUCUUUGAGAUGAGGGCAGCCUCACCCUGAAGGAACUGGGUUCUCAUGUUCCUGCCAUCCUGAGGUGAAAAAGAAAAGGGUCUUGGACAAUGGAGUGAAGGCAAUCAAUCCUUGUUUCUUGGGAGCAAAGAGGGAAUUGAGAUUGUCCUCUGGUACAUGGAAGUGUCUGAAGAUUUCUGUGGAUGGGGGUGCAGCUCACUCCCACUCCUAUUAGAAAAAAAACCUGUGGGAGUCGGGUAGAGAGAGUCAACUUGUGUUUGGGCUGUGGCUUUCAAAAUAACCACCUUUAGUCAUGCUAUAGGUUGCCUUCUAGGGGUAUUCUAUUCCUUCAAAUCUUUUAGUGAAGCCUUAUUUAAAGGGAUAGCCCCUUCCUAGAUGUGCCUUGGGGGCAUUAAUGAAAGGAUCUAUGUCCAUGCUUAGGGUCUACAUGACACUGGGGAGGCAGAAAGAGUCUAGGGCAGGGGGUUAGGUCUGAGCGGAGAUGCUGUGCAUGGAGUAGCCCAAUAAUCCAGAAACAGCAUCUGUCUGGGGGAUCCCAAGAAUUUGCAGAACUUGCCAUCAUUCCUCAGGUUUUCACUGCUAUACUUGAGAAAGUAACCAAAUGAAAGAUGUGACUUUCUGCUUUUACAGGGAUGUAGGUCAGGCUAUUGUCAUUUGGACAUUGAAGAGAAGGUUGCCUUUGGAAAGCAGGAGAACUUGGGGGGAAUAGCUGACUUGCACAUCCUUCAAUACUCCACUUAGCUAUCAUUCCUUCUAACGUCUCCUCAGCUUCAUGUCUGAGUUCAGUGUCUUUUCUAGUGUUCCUUUAGUCCCCGGAUGCUAUCAUUUACACAAGCAAAUAAUAAUUACAACAGACUCUUAUUGAGUACUUACAUUGUGCCAAACACUAAGUUAAGUGCUUUACAUGGAUUAUCUCAUUCAGUAAUUUGGUAAUCUCUAUUUUUCAGCAGAGGACACUGAAACCUAGAGAAAUUAUGUGAUUUGCUUCAAGUCCUACAGAGGGACACUCAUAGAGCCAGAUUUUGAACCAAGAUGGUCUAGUCCAGAGCCAGUACAUGCAGGAUUUAGAAUAUACUCAUUUUAUUUUUCCCCUUUUCCAGUUUUUUUUUUUUUUUUAAGUGCUAUGAGCUUUCUUAGGAUAGUCUCUUUCCUUUAUAUCUGCAUCCUUAUCUUUUAGUAUAGGGCUAGGCACCUUAGUAAUUGUUUGACAAAUGUUUGUGAAAAGGAUAAAUGAAAGACAGAGCCUAAGGCAUAAAAUUUUAAGACAAUACACUGAAGCUGUUACAGUUUAUGACUGAAUAAAUAAAGUACUCAGCUCUCCUCUUGGUA